rnacentral:lncRNA from 1 species
UUCGAAAAAGUUAUAAAGUUCAUCACCAAAGUAUGAACUAACGAACACUAAGGUACGUCGUGUAGCAUACGCGCCGCCGUUCUUUGCUAUUCGACCACUCUGUUCGUCGUGUACAAUACGCGCCACCGCUCUCUGCUAUUCGACCUAUGAAGGGUCCUGAAACAGCAGCGCCUCAUAUCUCUCCCAACCUCACAAUGCUUCAAUCCACAACUCUUGGAUCAUACAAUUUAGCUUGUGCAGAUCAUUGACAUUCAUACCAGAAAGGUCUUCUCCUAACAGCUGCCUGCAAGAAUGGUGCAAGUGGGUACGAAUAAAUAUAAGACCAUAUUAAGCUGAUGAAGAGGUAAACUUUUAAAGUUUAUUAACUCUGCUCUAUAGUUUACAAAUUUAUAACAGUAUACACUUUCUCAUUCUUGACCUGUUAGACACACUACUUGAUAUAAUCCAAAUGUGCACAUAUAAGGUUCUUUUAUGGGAUCUUGAACAUAAUCCAAAUGCUACAUACACUUGUAUACCAACAUCAAUAAUAAUUUGUAGUUUCCUUAUUAAUAUUCAGUAUUAAUGUUUAUG